rnacentral:rRNA from 1 species
AGCGAACGCUGGCGGCAGGCCUAACACAUGCAAGUCGAACGAACCCUUCGGGGUUAGUGGCGGACGGGGGAGUAACACGUGGGAACGUGCCUUUAGGUUCGGAAUAACUCAGGGAAACUCGUGCUAAUACCGACUGUGCCCUUCGGGGGAAAGAUUUAUCGCCUUUAGAGGGGCCCGCGUCUGAUUAGCUAGUUGGUGAGGUAAUGGCUCACCAAGGCUACGAUCUGUAGCUGGUCUGAGAGGAUGACCAGCCACAUUGGGAUUGAGACACGGCCCAAACUCCUACGGGAGGCAGCAGUGGGGAAUCUUGCGCAAUGGGCGAAAGCCUGACGCAGCCAUGCCGCGUGGAUGAUGAAGGUCUUAGGAUUGUAAAAUCCUUUCACCGGUGAAGAUAAUGACUGUAGCCGGAGAAGAAGCCCCGGCUAACUUCGUGCCAGCCGCCGCCGUAACAC